rnacentral:rRNA from 1 species
UACGUAGGGGGCAAGCGUUGUCCGGAUUUAUUGGGCGUAAAGAGCGUGUAGGCGGCCAGGUAGGUCCGUUGUGAAAACUGGAGGCUUAACCUCCAGCUGUCGGUGGAAACCGUCUGGCUAGAGUCCGGAAGAGGAGAGUGGAAUUCCCGGUGUAGCGGUGAAAUGCGCAGAUAUCGGGAAGAACACCCGUGGCGAAGGCGGCUCUCUGGGACGGUACUGACGCUGAGACGCGAAAGCGUGGGGAGCGAACAGG